rnacentral:rRNA from 1 species
GACGAACGCUGGCGGCGUGCUUAACACAUGCAAGUCGAACGGUAAGGCCCCUUCGGGGGUACACGAGUGGCGAACGGGUGAGUAACACGUGAGCAACCUGCCCUUGACUCUGGAAUAACAGUUGGAAACAGCUGCUAAUACUGGAUAUUCAUCGUCUCCUUCCUGGGGGGUGGUGGAAAGCUCCGGCGGUCAGGGAUGGGCUCGCGGCCUAUCAGCUUGUUGGUGAGGUAAUGGCUCACCAAGGCUUCGACGGGUAGCCGGCCUGAGAGGGCGACCGGCCACACUGGGACUGGGAUACGGCCCAGACUCCUACGGGAGGCAGCAGUGGGGAAUAUUGCACAAUGGGCGCAAGCCUGAUGCAGCAACGCCGCGUGCGGGAUGACGGCCUUCGGGUUGUAAACCGCUUUCAGUAGGGACGAAGGGUGACUGACGGUACCUACAGAAGAAGGACCGGCUAACUACGUG